rnacentral:rRNA from 1 species
AUGCACGUCUCAGUACGAGCUGAAUGUAAAGUGAAACCGCGAACAGCUCAUUAAAUCAGUCUUUGUUCACUGGAUGGAAGGGCGACCGUAGAUGGAUAACUGCGGAAAUCCUGGAGCUAAUACAUGCCAUUGACGCCGCGACGUUCGAAAGAWCGGAGCGCAGCCUUUAUUAGACCGAAAACGGACCGACUCGCUUGCGAGACGGUCCCCCGGUGACUCCGAGUAACCGACAGUCGAUCGCAAGGCCGUUUGUGCCCGCGACGCAUCCUUCAAGGGUCUGCCUCAUCAACUAGACGGUUCGCAAACCGCCGACCGUGGUGGCGACGGGUGACGGGGAAUUAGGGUUCGAUUCCGGAGAGGGAGCCUGAGAGAUCGCUACCACA